rnacentral:rRNA from 1 species
CCUACGGGUGGCUGCAGUGGGGAAUAUUGGACAAUGGGCGAAAGCCUGAUCCAGCCAUGCCGCGUGUGUGAAGAAGGCCUUCGGGUUGUAAAGCACUUUCAGUGGGGAAGAAAGCCUUGGGGCUAAUACCCUCGAGGAAGGACAUCACCCACAGAAGAAGCACCGGCUAACUCCGUGCCAGCAGCCGCGGUAAUACGGAGGGUGCGAGCGUUAAUCGGAAUUACUGGGCGUAAAGCGCGCGUAGGCGGUCUGUUAAGCCGGUUGUGAAAGCCCCGGGCUCAACCUGGGAACGGCAUCCGGAACUGUCAGGCUAGAGUGCAGGAGAGGAAGGUAGAAUUCCCGGUGUAGCGGUGAAAUGCGUAGAGAUCGGGAGGAAUACCAGUGGCGAAGGCGGCCUUCUGGACUGACACUGACGCUGAGGUGCGAAAGCGUGGGUAGCAAACAGGAUUAGAUACCCGAGUAGUC